UAUCUCUUAGCCAGCAUACACGAAAACAACAAAGCGUUUAAAGAUUUCGCAUUUUGAUCAACACCUAGUUGAGGCAUUUUAUCAAACAGUUGGAAGGCAUGAUCCAACAACCCAGCUUGCCCUUUUGAGGAGGGUAAGAGCGGCGCGUGAUUUAUCCUUGCUGGAGAGGGGGGUGUUGGAAUCGGGGUUUAGGAUUGAUGAAAAAUGUCGAGGCUGAAAGUGAUGAGAGGAGGUGAAAUGUAGACGAUCAAAAGUGUUAAGCUGUCGAAGCUUGAUGAUGGAAGCCAUUGAUGAUGUC
rnacentral:lncRNA from 1 species